CACCACCCUGUGAGAAUCUCUGUAAUCAUUGAAAGUGAUGCCGUGGUCAGCCUCCCCAGACUUAGCGAUGCCUUCCUGGUAAUCUUUGGACUGAUAUAUGCACUACACCUCAGCUACCCCAAAGCACUGACCAACACUUUUGAAUUCACUGAAAAGAUUUUACUUGGUCUAGAAAGUGGUAAACUGUCACCCAGGUUGCAGACCCUCAAGAAUGACUUGUUGAUGUAAGUGACUGAUGGAGGAGGUGGAGAGGGAGGUGGAGAGGAGGAGGAGAGGAAGGUGGAGAGAGGGAGGUGACUAAUGGAGGAGAGGGAGGAGAAGAGGGAGGUGACUGAUGGAGGAGGUGACUGAUGGAGGAGGAGAGGGAGGUGACUGAUGGAGGAGGUGGAGAGGGAGGAGGAGAGGGAGGUGACUGAUGGAGGAGGUGGAGAGGGAGGAUAAGAGGGAGGUGACUGAUGGAGGAGAGGGAGGUGACUGAUGGAGGAGGUGGAGAGGGAGGAGGAGAGGGAGGUGACUGAUGGAGGAGGUGACUGAUGGAGGAGGAGAGGGAGGUGACUGAUGGAGGAGGUGACUGAUGGAGGAGGAGAGGGAGGUGACUGAUGGAGGAGGUGGAGAGGGAGGAGGAGAGGGAGGUGACUGAUGGAGGAGGUGGAGAGGGAGGAUAAGAGGGAGGUGACUGAUGGAGGAGAGGGAGGUGGAGAGGGAGGUGACUGAUGGAGGAGGUGGAGAGGGAGGAGAAGAGGGAGGUGACUGAUGGAGGAGGUGGAGAGGGAGGUGACUGAUGGAGGAGGUGGAGAGGGAGGUGACUGAUGGAGGAGGUGGAGAUGGAGGUGACUGAUGGAGGAGGUGGAGAAGGAGGUGACUGAUGGCGGAGGUGGAGAGGGAGGUGACUGAUGGCGGAGGUGACUGAUGGAGGAGGAGAGAGGGAGGUGACUGAUGGAGGAGGUGGAGAGGGAGGUGACUGAUGGCAUAGGAGGAGAGAGGGAGGUGACUGAUGGAGGAGGAGAGGGAGGUGACUGAUGGCGGAGGUGGAGAGGGAGGUGACUGAUGGCAUAGGAGGUGACUGAUGGAGGAGGAGAGAGGGAGGUGACUGAUGGAGGAGGUGGAGAGGGAGGUGACUGAUGGCAUAGGAGGAGAGAGGGAGGUGACUGAUGGAGGAGGAGAGGGAGGUGACUGAUGGAGGAGGUGGAGAGGGAGGUGACUGAUGGCAUAGGAGGAGAGAGGGAGGCUUUGAUUUAUUUUGAUUUAUA
ensembl:lncRNA